rnacentral:rRNA from 1 species
UUAAAUGGCUAGCAGUAAUUCGACUGUACAAAGGUAGCAUAAUCAUUAGUUUUUUAAUUGAAAGCUUGUAUGAAAGGUUGGACGAAAAAAAAUCUGUCUUUGUUUAAUUUAAUUAGAAUUUAAUUUUUAAGUGAAAAAGCUUAAAUAUUUAUAAAAGACGAGAAGACCCUAUAGAAUUUUAUAUUUAAAUAAGUAAAUUUAAUUAAUAUUUAUUAAUUUUUUAUUUUAUUAAAUAUUUUAUUGGGGUAAUAAAAAGAUUAGUAUAAUUCUUUUUUAUUUUAUAUAUUUAUAUAUAUUUAAUUGAUCCAAUAUUAAUGAUUAUAAGAAUAAAUUACCUUAGGGAUAACAGCGUAAUUUUUUUAGAGAGUUCAUAUUAAUAAGAAAGUUUGCGACCUCGAUGUUGGAUUAAAGAUUAUUUUAGGUGCAAAAGUUUAAAAGAUUGGUCUGUUCGACCAUUAAAUCUUUACAUGAUCUGAGU